rnacentral:lncRNA from 1 species
AAAUGAAAAUGUAUGAAUGAGUCUGAAUUGGGAUGUAAUCCAGCAGCUGUGAGCUGGGAUUGGAAAUGAUAAUCAGAAACAAACAAGUCUGCUUUCUAUCUGUCAUUGUAGUAGUGGUCAUGCAGUGAACACACUUCCAAAUUUCAUGCUUCUUCUUCUGCUGCUGCACAGUACUGCAGAUAUUUAAUGGCUUCUGUUUUGAUGCUAAAUGAGAGACUAACUUAUACUAUAACUGAUACUAAGUUCAAAGGGAGUAGUACCUUUAUGCUUCAUUCAGAUUUCAAACAGUUGAUUCAUCUUCUGUUUCCAACCAGACCAAUUUCUUAGUACGAUUUUGUUACAGAAACCACAAUAGUUUCAUUCAUACUGUCACACCCUUUCAUCUUAUUCACCUAAUUAAGGUUUUACUCAGAACAGUAAGUAAUAUUAAUACUCCUAUUUGUUUUUUCAGAUAUCUCUUCUUCUUCUUCUUCUUCUUCUCUGUCUCAUUAAUUGCAAUGUUAUUUUCUCUUUUAUUUUUGGUCUAGGAGAAAAUUACAUUCAUAUUAUCCAUGCUCCAUUGUGUGGACACAAUUUCUCUUCACAAACAUAAGGACAGGGUCCCCCAUGGCCAUUGGUAUAUAUGUAACAGUCUUCUUCUGUGUUGACUGGUUCUUCUUUGAAUUUUUUCUCAACUUAAUUGAAUGUAC